UAUUAUGAGAGUUUGAUCCUGGCUCAGGACGAACGCUGGCGGCGUGCCUAAUACAUGCAAGUCGAACGCUUCUUUCCUCCCGAGUGCUUGCACUCAAUUGGAAAGAGGAGUGGCGGACGGGUGAGUAACACGUGGGUAACCUACCCAUCAGAGGGGGAUAACACUUGGAAACAGGUGCUAAUACCGCAUAACAGUUUAUGCCGCAUGGCAUAAGAGUGAAAGGCGCUUUCGGGUGUCGCUGAUGGAUGGACCCGCGGUGCAUUAGCUAGUUGGUGAGGUAACGGCUCACCAAGGCCACGAUGCAUAGCCGACCUGAGAGGGUGAUCGGCCACACUGGGACUGAGACACGGCCCAGACUCCUACGGGAGGCAGCAGUAGGGAAUCUUCGGCAAUGGACGAAAGUCUGACCGAGCAACGCCGCGUGAGUGAAGAAGGUUUUCGGAUCGUAAAACUCUGUUGUUAGAGAAGAACAAGGACGUUAGUAACUGAACGUCCCCUGACGGUAUCUAACCAGAAAGCCACGGCUAACUACGUGCCAGCAGCCGCGGUAAUACGUAGGUGGCAAGCGUUGUCCGGAUUUAUUGGGCGUAAAGCGAGCGCAGGCGGUUUCUUAAGUCUGAUGUGAAAGCCCCCGGCUCAACCGGGGAGGGUCAUUGGAAACUGGGAGACUUGAGUGCAGAAGAGGAGAGUGGAAUUCCAUGUGUAGCGGUGAAAUGCGUAGAUAUAUGGAGGAACACCAGUGGCGAAGGCGGCUCUCUGGUCUGUAACUGACGCUGAGGCUCGAAAGCGUGGGGAGCAAACAGGAUUAGAUACCCUGGUAGUCCACGCCGUAAACGAUGAGUGCUAAGUGUUGGAGGGUUUCCGCCCUUCAGUGCUGCAGCAAACGCAUUAAGCACUCCGCCUGGGGAGUACGACCGCAAGGUUGAAACUCAAAGGAAUUGACGGGGGCCCGCACAAGCGGUGGAGCAUGUGGUUUAAUUCUUUCCCUUCGGGGACAAAGUGACAGGUGGUGCAUGGUUGUCGUCAGCUCGUGUCGUGAGAUGUUGGGUUAAGUCCCGCAACGAGCGCAACCCUUAUUGUUAGUUGCCAUCAUUUAGUUGGGCACUCUAGCGAGACUGCCGGUGACAAACCGGAGGAAGGUGGGGAUGACGUCAAAUCAUCAUGCCCCUUAUGACCUGGGCUACACACGUGCUACAAUGGGAAGUACAACGAGUCGCUAGACCGCGAGGUCAUGCAAAUCUCUUAAAGCUUCUCUCAGUUCGGAUUGCAGGCUGCAACUCGCCUGCAUGAAGCCGGAAUCGCUAGUAAUCGCGGAUCAGCACGCCGCGGUGAAUACGUUCCCGGGCCUUGUACACACCGCCCGUCACACCACGAGAGUUUGUAACACCCGAA
rnacentral:rRNA from 1 species